rnacentral:rRNA from 1 species
GUGUCAGCCGCCGCGGUAAGACGUAGGGGACAAGCGUUAUCCGGAUUUACUGGGUUUAAAGGGUGUGUAGGCGGACUUUUAAGUCCGUGGUGAAAUCUCCGGGCUCAACCCGGAAACUGCCAUGGAUACUAUAGGUCUUGAAUGUUGUUGAGGUGGGCGGAACGGGUCAUGUAGCGGUGAAAUGCAUAGAUAUGACCCGGAACACCGAUUGCGAAGGCAGCCCACUAAGCAACGAUUGACGCUGAGGCACGAAAGCGUGGGGAUCAAACAGGACUAGAUACCCUGGUAGUCCACGCCCUAAACGAUGAUUACUCGACGUUGGCGAUACACCGAUCAGCGUCCAAGCGAAAGCAUUAAGUAAUCCACCUGGGAAGUACGUUCGCAAGAAUGAAACUCAAAGGAAUUGACGG